ACAUCUCCGGCCUCACCCUUCCAAGCACUCAGCAGAGUUUCCCUGGAGUUUCAGGCUUUGCAUUCUUGACAAGACCACAUGUACUCCUUAGAGCUGGGAGCUAUGGAUAGGAAAAGCCAGGCAUGGUGACCUCCUCUUCUGUGUCCCUGCCCUGCUGUGGGCUGGUCAUGAUCUGAUUCCUGACUCAAGCAUUUUCAAGAUGCUUAACCCACAUGAGAACAAGGGAUAGAAAAUGGCAUUUGCUGUGGAUGGGAGAAGCCAGACACAUGACAAUCGUCACACUGCUGCCAAUAGCUCAGUGGAGAGCAUGAAGCCCUGGGGUCAGCACAGGUCCUGGGAAUCUCAUUUCCGGUCCUCAUGCAGCACAGUAGGAGCUUCACCAGGAGACCAUCUCCAGCCCAAGUGUGAAAGGAUUUGUGACCUCAUCAUGCACCUGACUGAAUGAAGCCUGUCCUAGGAGCUGUUUUGGCUGACUUAGAGCAGCCACUGGGGAGCAGACUUGGUGACCUCUGAGGACAGGAAAGCUCACAGUUGGUCCCGUUUGAGGACUGGAAGGAAACAAUACCCAAUCCCAAUGAAAACCACUAACACAGGA